rnacentral:rRNA from 1 species
AGAGUUUGAUCAUGGCUCAGGACGAACGCUGGCGGCGUGCUUAAUACAUGCAAGUCGAGCGAGGUUAUGUUGUGGACAUCCUUCGGGAGGGAAGCGAUAUGACCUAGCGGCGGACGGGUGAGUAACGCGUGGGCAAUCUGCCCUAAAGCUCGGGAUAACAGUGGGAAACUGCUGCUAAUACCGGAUGACUUUAUCGGGAGGCAUCUUCGGAUAAAGAAAGUGGUCAAUCAUUGAUUGACCAGCGCUUUAGGAUGAGCCCGCGUCCCAUUAGCUAGUUGGUGAGGUAACGGCUCACCAAGGCGACGAUGGGUAGCCGGCCUGAGAGGGUGAACGGCCACACUGGGACUGAGACACGGCCCAGACUCCUACGGGAGGCAGCAGUAGGGAAUAUUGCGCAAUGGAGGGAACUCUGACGCAGCGACGCCGCGUGAGCGAUGAAGGUUUUCGGAUCGUAAAGCUCUGUCCUUGGGGAAGAAGGGUGCGAAGCAUCUUGACGGUACCUAAGGAGGAAGCCCCGGCUAACUACGUGCCAGCAGCCGCGGUAAUACGUAGGGGGCAAGCGUUGUCCGGAAUUAUUGGGCGUAAAGGGUGCGUAGGCGGCCUUUUAAGUCAGAUGUGAAAGACCACGGCUUAACCGUGGGGUUGCAUUUGAAACUGGAAGGCUUGAGUAUCGGAGAGGGUAGUGGAAUUCCCAGUGUAGCGGUGGAAUGCGUAGAUAUUGGGAGGAACACCAGUGGCGAAGGCGACUACCUGGACGAAAACUGACGCUGAGGCACGAAAGCUAGGGGAGCAAACAGGAUUAGAUACCCUGGUAGUCCUAGCCGUAAACGAUGGGUACUAGGUGUAGGAGGUUUCGAUACCUUCUGUGCCGCAGUUAACGCAAUAAGUACCCCGCCUGGGGAGUACGUGCGCAAGCAUGAAACUCAAAGGAAUUGACGG